AACGCACAUUGCGCCCUCUGGUAUUCCGGAGGGCAUGCCUGUCCGAGCGUCAUUAUCAACCCUCAAGCUCGGCUUGCUGUUGGGUCUCGCCGUGGCAAGCACGGUGGAUCUCAAAGAUAAUGAUAGAGUCUGGAGGACCCUGGAUGCAGCGAGCUUUUAGCACGCGUCCGGAUGGUGUUUCGGGCUCGGUCUUAACCAACAAGAUUUCUGGUUGACCUCGGAUCAGGUAGGGAUACCCGCUGAACUUAA
rnacentral:misc_RNA from 1 species